GAUGAACGCUGGCGGCGUGCCUAAUACAUGCAAGUCGAGCGAACAGACGAGGAGCUUGCUCCUCUUACUUUAGCGGCUGACGUGUGAGUAACACGUGGAUAACCUACCUAUAAUACUGGUAUCACUUCGGGAAACCGGAGCUAAUACCUUAUAAUAUAUUUAACCGCAUGGUUCAUUAGUGAAUUACGUUUUUUCUGUCACUUAUAGAUGUUUCCGCGCCGCAUUAGCUAGUUGGUAAGGUAACGGCUUAACAAGGCAACGAUGCGUAUCCGACCUGAGAGGGUGAUCGGACACACUGGAACUGAGACACGGUACAGACUCCUACGGGAGGCAGCAGUAGGGAAUCUUACGCAAUGGGCGAAAGCCUGACGGAGCAACGCCGAGUGAGUGAUGAAGGUCUUCGGAUCGUAAAACUCUGUUAUUAGGGAAGAACAAAUGUGUAAGUAACUAUGCACGUAUUGACGGUAACUAAUAAGAAAGCAACGGCUAACUACGUG
rnacentral:rRNA from 1 species